ACGGAGGGUGCGAGCGUUAAUCGGAAUUACUGGGCGUAAAGCGCGCGUAGGCGGCUUGGUCAGUCGGGUGUGAAAUCCCUGGGCUCAACCUAGGAAUUGCAUUCGAUACUGCCUGGCUAGAGUGUGGUAGAGGGAAGUGGAAUUCCAGGUGUAGCGGUGAAAUGCGUAGAUAUCUGGAGGAACAUCAGUGGCGAAGGCGACUUCCUGGACCAACACUGACGCUGAGGUGCGAAAGCGUGGGGAGCAAACAGG
rnacentral:rRNA from 1 species